rnacentral:lncRNA from 1 species
GCCUAGGAUGGCUACUCUGAAAGGAAGAAUUCAAUCCGAACUGGGAAUUCAAAGUUGCUCAAAUCCAAACUUCAAGUUUUCUACAGGCGGCUCAGAACACGAACAAAUCCAAACUCCGAUGCAUUUUUUUUUUCGGGAUGUCCCGGUCCCGACCCGGUCCCGACCCGGUCCUGUUCGGGUUCGGGCCCGUCGGGAUCACUUCUCAAAAUAGCAUUAACUGUCCCGUCCCGUCCCGAAAAAUAAUUCCGGGCCCGGGAUCGGGAUUACCAAGAUCCCGGCCCGUCCCGGCCCG